AUUGAACGCUGGCGGCAGGCCUAACACAUGCAAGUCGAACGAGUGGCGGACGGGUGAGUAAUGUCUGGGAAACUGCCCGUUGGAGGGGGAUAACUACUGGAAACAGUAGCUAAUACCGCAUACCAUCGGAUGUGCCCAUAUGGGAUUAGCUAGUAGGUGGGGUAACGGCUCACCUAGGCCACGAUCCCUAGCUGGUCUGAGAGGAGGACCAGCCACAUUGGAACUGAGACACGGGCCAGACUCCUACGGGAGGCAGCAGUGGGGAAUAUUGGACAAUGGGGGCAAGCCUGAUGCAGCCAUGCCGAGCGUAUGAAGAAGGCCGUCGGGUUGUAAAGUACUUUCGGCGAGGAGGCGUUACUCGCAGAAGAAGCACCGGCUAACUCCGUGCCAGCAGCCGCGGUAAUAC
rnacentral:rRNA from 1 species